rnacentral:lncRNA from 1 species
GAGAGUCUUCCUGCUCUCUCUCUCCCUUCUCCAUUUUUCCUCCCUUGCAGAUAGGGUUUCGAGACCCAUCCUCGCCGCCAUCGUCUGACCGCCGCACCACCACCAUACUCGGUGGCCGGCAAUGCACAAGAAUAGGCCGUUCGGCCUUGUUCCAAAAGAGUUUGAAGGCCUAGCCUUCUUGAGUCGAAAAGAACCGAAAGAAAGGGCCUUCACCCCUCUUUUAGCCCCGACGAUGGAGGAGAGACCUCCGGCAAAGCAACCACGGCGGUUCCGGUAAGGUUCCUCUCUUCCUUUUCUUUUUAUUUUAUGGCUACUCUUAUUUAAUAGAUUCGUGUUAAAAUAAAAAGGAAAUAUUAGAGAGAUGAAAAACGAAAUGGAAAUAAAGAAAGUAGAAUAAGAGAUCAACCUUUUGUGUUUUUUUUUUAUUUCCAGUGUUCGUUUGAUACGAUUCUUGUAUAUUCAAAGGUUCCCCAAAAUACAAUCUACCCCCCAUUUUUACAAUCAGAUCCCCCUCUUAUAGCCAUUUCAAAACGAUAAUUUAAGCCUUUUGCUACUGCUCUUGUGUUGUCUGCUUUUGUCUUGGUGUUUAUUUCAUUUUGCAGGGUAUGGAGGAGUUGGUGGGAGUGUGUGAUGCCUGGGAAUGGUGCUGCAGAGGCGUGGGGUGGCAAACAUCAUGGGGUGGCCAGGGUUCUUUUUUUCUUUGCUAUUUUUUAUUAUUGGUCUGGGCUAGGGUUAGUAGUUUGGGCUGUUUUGUAUUGGGUUUUAAGGGGUUUGAGUAAUUGGAUUGUAUUUGGGCCAAAAUUGGCCUGCAACAAUGCGAGCAGAAAGUGAA